rnacentral:rRNA from 1 species
UAGGGAAUCUUCGGCAAUGGGGGGAACCCUGACCGAGCAACGCCGCGUGAGUGAAGAAGGUUUUCGGAUCGUAAAGCUCUGUUGUUAAGGAAGAACGAGUGUGAGAAUGGAAAGUUCAUACUGUGACGGUACUUAACCAGAAAGGGACGGCUAACUACGUGCCAGCAGCCGCGGUAAUACGUAGGUCCCGAGCGUUGUCCGGAUUUAUUGGGCGUAAAGCGAGCGCAGGCGGUUAGAUAAGUCUGAAGUUAAAGGCAGUGGCUCAACCAUUGUAGGCUUUGGAAACUGUUUAACUUGAGUGCAGAGGGGGAGAGUGGAAUUCCAUGUGUAGCGGUGAAAUGCGUAGAUAUAUGGAGGAACACCAGUGGCGAAGGCGACUCUCUGGUCUGUAACUGACGCUGAGGCUCGAAAGCGUGGGUAGCAAACAGG